rfam:Dipodomys ordii contig_763, whole genome shotgun sequence.
GGGAAUAUGGCUUAGUGGUAGAGUGCUUGCCUAACAUGCAUGAAGCCUUGGGUUGGAUUCCUCAAUACCA